AACGUAGGUGGCGAGCGUUAUCCGGAUUUACUGGGCGUAAAGCGUGUGCAGGCGGGGAUACAAGUGGGGUAUGAAAUUUCCCGGCUUAACCGGGAAGGGUUAUGCCAGACUGUAUUUCUGGAGUGCGAGAGAGGGGCGUGGAAUUCCGGGUGUAGUGGUGAAAUGCGUAGAGAUCGGAAAGAACACCAACGGCGAAAGCACUCUGCUGGGCCGACACUGACACUGAGAGACGAAAGCUAGGGGAGCGAAUGGG
rnacentral:rRNA from 1 species